rnacentral:rRNA from 1 species
CCUACGGGGUGCAGCAGUGGGGAAUAUUGGACAAUGGGGGCAACCCUGAUCCAGCCAUGCCGCGUGUGUGAAGAAGGCCCUCGGGUUGUAAAGCACUUUCAGUGAGGAAGAACGCCUGGUGGUUAAUACCCAUCAGGAAAGACAUCACUCACAGAAGAAGCACCGGCUAACUCCGUGCCAGCAGCCGCGGUAAUACGGAGGGUGCGAGCGUUAAUCGGAAUUACUGGGCGUAAAGCGCGCGUAGGUGGCUUGAUAAGCCGGUUGUGAAAGCCCCGGGCUCAACCUGGGAACGGCAUCCGGAACUGUCAAGCUAGAGUGCAGGAGAGGAAGGUAGAAUUCCCGGUGUAGCGGUGAAAUGCGUAGAGAUCGGGAGGAAUACCAGUGGCGAAGGCGGCCUUCUGGACUGACACUGACACUGAGGUGCGAAAGCGUGGGUAGCAAACAGGAUUAGAUACCCCGGUAGUC